rnacentral:snRNA from 1 species
AGCUUUCCACAGUGGCAGUAUCAUAGCCAAUGAGGUUUAUCUGAGGCACGAUUAUUGCUAAUUGAAAAAGAAAAGCCAAUUAGAUCCUCAAAUUUAUUCAAUUGAAU